GACGUAGGGCGCGAGCGUUGUCCGGAUUUAUUGGGCGUAAAGAGCUCGUAGGCGGCUUGUCGCGUCGACUGUGAAAACCCGCGGCUCAACCGCGGGCCUGCAGUCGAUACGGGCAGGCUAGAGUUCGGUAGGGGAGACUGGAAUUCCUGGUGUAGCGGUGAAAUGCGCAGAUAUCAGGAGGAACACCCGUGGCGAAAGCGGCUCUCUGGGACGGUACUGACGCUGAGACGCGAAAGCGUGGGGAGCAAACAGG
rnacentral:rRNA from 1 species